rnacentral:rRNA from 1 species
AGAGAGUGCAAGAGAACGUGAAACCGACGUAAUGGAAGCAUAUGGAGUUGACGUAUCUGGUGCGUAUUCAGUUGUUGGGCUUUUCGAUUGCUUGGUUUGCUAUUCCGCAAGGUUGGCGGCUGGGUAUUGUCGGGAGGUUCGGCAAUGCAUUUACGUACGGAGUGCGCCGAGUUGUGCGGUGGUGUCAGUCGACGUUGGUUGAGAGGACAUGACUUCGGUUGUGAACCCUUGGCUUUCUUAGGCUGGUUACUGCUGCAUAAUUUUGUGGAGGCACGGGUUUUUCGCGCAAUGCGAUGUUGGCUUGGCUUGUUUACUUUGUACGCAUGCGUCCUUGGUUUAUCGGUCUUGUCGAUGUUGUAGUGUGCUCUGUGCUCUUCUCGGUGUAUAGUCAAUGACCCAUUUGACCCGUCUUGAAACACGGACCAAGGAGUUUAUGGUAUACGCAAGUCAUUGGGCUUUCUAAACCCAAAGGCGUAAUGAAAGUGAGAUCUUAUUGGUUUUAAUGUGAUCGGUU